ACUCCUACGGGAGGCAGCAGUGGGGAAUAUUGGACAAUGGGGGCAACCCUGAUCCAGCCAUGCCGCGUGAGUGAAAAGGCCCUAGGGUCGUAAAAGCUCUUUCAACUGUGAAGAUAAUGACGGUAGCAAGUAGACGAAACCCCGGCUAAUUCCGUGCCAGCAAGCCGCGGUAAUACGGNGGGGUUAGCGUUGUUCGGAAUUACUGGGCGUAAAGCGCACGUAGGCGGACUAUUAAGUUAGAGGUGAAAAU
rnacentral:rRNA from 1 species